UCUAUAGAAUCACAAAUCCAAAUGAAUGCCGAUGCCUUGUUCACUUGGGAGAAGUUUAGAAAGGAUUCAUUUUACCCCAAAAACAUAACAUUCUACUCCAAUCUCCACAGAUGUCUCUUUAUUCACAACACAUUUUUACUUUUAAUGUAGCUCUCAAAUGCAUAUUUUAAGUCCCCUCCAUCUACUCUUCUUUAAAUAUUCAAAGGAUUUUCUUGAAAUCUACUAUUAUUUCCGUCGGAGGACCGAUAUCGUCAAAACGACCUGCUUGGUGCAAAAACUCGACAGGCGGGGCGAUAACAGCCGGAGGGGGGGGGGCUUAGCGAAGACGAAUGACGUCACUUGCCUCUCCGGUCUUUUUAACCUCAUUUUUGAGGGAGUACGUCGGCUAAUCGGUCAACACAAGCCUUUGGGGCUACGCUCCUGCAGAAGGAUCUGGACGGCCACGCCUGCUCUGAGCAUUGAGCCCGAUCUGGCUUGACGAAUAAAGCACUAAGGAGAUAGCGAUCAGAGAAGACUCCAAAGGCAGCCUGCUUGCCUGGCAGCGCUUGAUAAUCUCUUCGUUGGUUUCGCUCAGUUGCCUUUAAUCUGACUUCACAUAAUCCUUUUUUUUACCCCCCUCCUGAUCAAGUAUACGCUUAAUUAUGGCUAAUGAAUUCCAUCCAGAGCUCGGGUAAACACGUCUAUCAAACAAGAUCAUGCCGAUUCUUUUAACGGAGAAGAGGAGAGAAGGGGAAAAAAGCAAACAUUUUCUUUGCCAAAAUGAUUGCGGCCCCACUAAGGGCUUGGAAGAGAGACAACUCUAUACCUCUAAUAGCAGUAAUUUACUGCUAAAAGGAGAAAAACUGUGUUGUAGUGCUCUUAUCUUCCAAAACGGAACCUGAAGCUGUUUAUGAUAGAACAUUUUUUCCAGAUUAAUCCAGCUAUUUUUGCUCAUUUGAUUUUCUAAAAUCAUAAUCAUACAGUAAACCAUCUCUAAGUGAUUCCUACCCAAUUGUUUACGUGAAACCAAAAGAUAUUCAGGCAAACCAGUGUCAGCAAUAAAGGAAAAGUACAUCAUAUUGUUCACCAAAAAAAGUACCAUGUCUCCACUAAAAGACAACCUUUAGCUAGGAAAGGAUUUAGCUGGUGGAUCCGCUGACAUGCUGUCUUCCCGUGACGUUACGGCCCCCAAGCAGGCGACCCUAUUGAGGCCCCGCGCGUUAUUAUUACGACAAACUCCAUCAGUUUUAGCAGCGCUUUGCUUAUCUCUCGCCGCGGACGUUGUUUACUGGAGGAUUUGAACAAUCUGCGAGACGCGGCGGUUUCCUUUCGGUGGCCAUUGUCGCCGUCAAUCCAAGCCUGACAGUUGGGCCGGGGCAAUUUGUGCUUGGCAUCCCUGAAUAGUUUCCCCCCCCUAAUGAGGCUGAUAGAAUGACCAUUCAUCCACAGGGGGCUCUUGAUGUGCCACGGUUCAAAUGUUAAUCACCCCGGCUACUUUGGCAAAUUGACAGAGCUGCAUUCACUGCUCGCUCUGUCUGAAAGCCGGGCUUGUGUGUCUCCUCUCGUCCCUCCGUGUGAGACUAGAUGCAGGGAGUCCCCGCUGACCCUGUUUUACAGUCCCCGGAUCACUUCGCUCUCAAGUCUUCUCAACGUUAACGGCCAGAAAGGGGGUGGGGGAGGGGGGGGACCAUCCGGACUCCCUCCAUCAUGGUGUCAGCGUUCACCGGUAGUUCAGUCUCCUGGACAAAAGGGUCUUGUUUACACUUACAACUCGGCUAACCCCCCCCUGGCCCGC
ensembl:lncRNA